rnacentral:rRNA from 1 species
UACGUAGGGCGCGAGCGUUGUCCGGAUUUAUUGGGCGUAAAGAGUUCGUAGGCGGCUUGUCGAGUCGACUGUGAAAUCUCAGGGCUCAACUCUGACAGUGCAGUCGAUACGGGCAGGCUAGAGUUCGGUAGGGGAGAGUGGAAUUCCUGGUGUAGCGGUGAAAUGCGCAGAUAUCAGGAGGAACACCGAUGGCGAAGGCAGGUCUCUGGGCCGAUACUGACGCUGAGGAGCGAAAGCGUGGGGAGCGAACAGG